rnacentral:rRNA from 1 species
UGAAGUUAAAGNCAUUGGCUCAACCAAUGUAUGCUUUGGAAACUGUUAGACUUGAGUGCAGAAGGGGAGAGUGGAAUUCCAUGUGUAGCGGUGAAAUGCGUAGAUAUAUGGAGGAACACCGGUGGCGAAAGCGGCUCUCUGGUCUGUCACUGACGCUGAGGCUCGAAAGCGUGGGUAGCGAACAGGAUUAGAUACCCUGGUAGUCCACGCCGUAAACGCUGAGUGCUAGGUGUUAGGUCCUUUCCGGGACUUAGUGCCGACGCUAACGCAUUAAGCACUCCGCCUGGGGAGUACGACCGCAAGGUUGAAACUCAAAGGAAUUGACGGGGGCCCGCACAAGCGGUGGAGCAUGUGGUUUAAUUCGAAGCAACGCGAAGAACCUUACCAGGUCUUGACAUCCCGAUGCCCGCUCUAGAGAUAGAGUUUUUCUUCGGAACAUCGGAGACAGGUGGUGCAUGGUUGUCGUCAGCUCGUGUCGUGAGAUGUUGGGUUAAGUCCCGCAACGAGCGCAACCCUUAUUGUUAGUUGCCAUCAUUAAGUUGGGCACUCUAGCGAGACUGCCGGUAAUAAACCGGAGGAAGGUGGGGAUGACGUCAAAUCAUCAUGCCCCUUAUGACCUGGGCUACACACGUGCUACAAUGGUUGGUACAACGAGUCGCAAGCCGGUGACGGCAAGCUAAUCUCUGAAAGCCAAUCACAGUUCGGAUUGUAGGCUGCAACUCGCCUACAUGAAGUCGGAAUCGCUAGUAAUCGCGGAUCAGCACGCCGCGGUGAAUACGUUCCCGGGCCUUGUACACACCGCCCGUCACACCACGAGAGUUUGUAACACCCAAAGUCGGU